UACGAAGGGGGGCUAGCGUUGUUCGGAAUUACUGGGCGUAAAGCGCGUGUAGGCGGUUGUCCAAGUUGGAUGUGAAAGCCUUGAGCUUAACUCAAGAAAUGCAUUCAGGACUGGAUGACUAGAGGACCGGAGAGGAUAGUGGAAUUCCCAGUGUAGUGGUGAAAUACGUAGAGAUUGGGAAGAACACCAGUGGCGAAGGCGGCUAUCUGGACGGUUUCUGACGCUAAGACGCGAAAGCGUGGGGAGCAAACAGG
rnacentral:rRNA from 1 species